rnacentral:rRNA from 1 species
UACGAGGGGGCAAGCGUUAUUCGGAAUUCUUGGGCGUAAAGGGCGCGUAGGCGGCUUGGCAAGUGGAUGGUGAAAUCCCUCGGCUUAACCGAGGAACUGCCGUCCAAACUGCUUCGCUUGAGACCGGGAGAGGUGAGUGGAAUUCCCAGUGUAGCGGUGAAAUGCGUAGAUAUUGGGAGGAACACCAGUGGCGAAGGCGGCUCACUGGACCGGUACUGACGCUGAUGCGCGAAAGCGUGGGGAGCAAACGGG